GGGGCGGUAGCUCAGCUGGUCAGAGCAGAGGACUCAUAAUCCUUUGGUCGUGGGUUCAAGCCCCACUCGCCCUACCC
rnacentral:tRNA from 1 species